rnacentral:tRNA from 1 species
GGGCGAUUAGCUCAGUUGGGAGAGCACCUCCCUUACAAGGAGGGGGUCACUGGUUCGAGCCCGGCAUCGCCCACCA